rfam:Felis catus isolate Cinnamon breed Abyssinian chromosome B2, whole genome shotgun sequence.
GCCUGGGUGGUUCAGUCGGUUAAGUGUCCGACUUCAGCUCAGGUCAUGUUCUCACAGUUUGUGGGUUCGAGCCCCACAUCAGGCU